UUCGUUGUUAAUUCGGAUAGACUCCGUAAAGAAAUGGUGGACUAGUGCCAGGCCCAAUAGGUCUAAUGUAACGCCACUAACGCCACAGACAGACAAGAGAAACAGAAACAAGCAAGAUUUUUGUGGGGAAAUAGGUUCUAAAACAAAAUGUGAUUUAUGCAUAUACUAUUGAAGCAAUGGUUAAAGAAGAUAUUGACGUUCUUACUCAAGCUUCUAAUUUCAUUGACAGACAUUUGCGUGCUAUUAGGAACCUGACAUGGCUUGUUGGAGGAGUUGGCAUAGUUAUCAUCAUUAGACGGGCUUAUGUUCUGAAUUGGUUUAAGUCAGUCAAUUCUAUCCCAGACGAAUUUAUUAGGAAAGGGAUAUAUCUACGAGGCGAGGUUAGAGGAAUCAAUGAGGACAACACUUUGUUAGUCUCACAUUUACCAAUCCUCAAAACACCAAGUUACAAGAGAGAACUGUCUAAACUGUCUGAUACAACAACCACUAAAAGAGUGGAAGGUCUGCUACCAGUCAAUAUUGCAGGCAUACAGUAUAGAGAGGGAGGAAAUGUAUGGCUUAAAGAAUACCUCAAUGGCACCCACGUGCGAUUUGUGCCACUCAGGAAGACUCCCUGCCAGCAGCUGGUUUGCAUUGUUCAUGUGAAAAAGAUCCACAGAAUGCUGCAAAUAAAAGAGGGAAUGUGCGGAAAAUACUGUGUCAAUGAGGAGUUGGUGAGGCAAGGCUUGGCUGUAACUGCAAGGUGCAAAGAGCUAGAGAACCACAAGCUCUAUCAGGGGCUGUUCACACGACUGCUGAAAGCAGAAGUGCGUGCAGAGAAGACAGGGAAGGGUGUAUGGGAGAAACCGUCAUACACUAAACAUGCUAAACAGACAAUUUACUCCAUGAUAACUUGGACGAGGGACAAGCUUUCAGGAAGCAAGAAACGGGAUGAAGUGUAAGCAAACAUUGUACUUGGGUGGAGGUUCUUCAGAACCCUUAUCAUAUGACUCUGAGUGAUGUUAGUUGCUUUUUGGGAUAAUCGCAAGAUGAUCGUCCCUACGUACGAGCUUGACAUCUGUCGUUAGACUGUUUACAUAUAAAAA